rnacentral:rRNA from 1 species
AGAGUUUGAUCCUGGCUCAGAACGAACGCUGGCGGCAGGCUUAAUACAUGCAAGUCGAACGGCUGUAGCAAUACAGCAGUGGCAGACGGGUGAGUAACACGUGGGAACCUACCUAGGGGUACGGAAUAACUCAGGGAAACUUGUGCUAAUACCGUAUACGACCUCAGGGUGAAAGAUUUAUCGCCCCUAGAUGGGCCCGCGCUGGAUUAGCUAGUUGGUGGGGUAAAAGCCUACCAAGGCGACGAUCCAUAGCUGGUCUGAGAGGAUGAUCAGCCACACUGGGACUGAGACACGGCCCAGACUCCUACGGGAGGCAGCAGUAGGGAAUCUUGGACAAUGGGCGAAAGCCUGAUCCAGCCAUGCCGCGUGAGUGAUGAAGGCCUUAGGGUUGUAAAGCUCUUUCGCCAGGGAAGAUAAUGACGGUACCUGGAUAAGAAGCCCCGGCUAACUUCGUGCCAGCAGCCGCGGUAAUACGAAGGGGGCUAGCGUUGUUCGGAAUUACUGGGCGUAAAGCGCACGUAGGCGGCAUUCCAAGUUGGAGGUGAAAUCCCCGGGCUUAACCUGGGAACUGCCUCCAAAACUGGAAAGCUCGAGUCCGAGAGAGGUGAGUGGAAUUCCAGUGUAGAGGUGAAAUUCGUAGAUAUUGGAAAGAACACCAGUGGCGAAGGCGGCUCACUGGCUCGGUACUGACGCUGAGGUGCGACAGCGUGGGGAGCAA